rnacentral:rRNA from 1 species
UACGUAGGGGGCUAGCGUUGUCCGGAUUUAUUGGGCGUAAAGAGCGUGUAGGCGGCCUGGUAGGUCUGCUGUGAAAACUCGAGGCUCAACCUCGAGAUGUCGGCGGAAACCAUCUGGCUAGAGUCCGGAAGAGGAGAGUGGAAUUCCUGGUGUAGCGGUGAAAUGCGCAGAUAUCGGAAGGAACAUCAGUGGCGAAAGCGACUGCCUGGCCCAAUACUGACGCUCAUGUGCGAAAGCGUGGGGAGCAAACAGG